GCAGUCGANGCUUUUUCUUUCACCGGAGCUUGCUCCACCGAAAGAAAAAGAGUGGCGAACGGGUGAGUAACACGUGGGUAACCUGCCCAUCAGAAGGGGAUAACACUUGGAAACAGGUGCUAAUACCGUAUAACACUAUUUUCCGCAUGGAAGAAAGUUGAAAGGCGCUUUUGCGUCACUGAUGGAUGGACCCGCGGUGCAUUAGCUAGUUGGUGAGGUAACGGCUCACCAAGGCCACGAUGCAUAGCCGACCUGAGAGGGUGAUCGGCCACACUGGGACUGAGACACGGCCCAGACUCCUACGGGAGGCAGCAGUAGGGAAUCUUCGGCAAUGGACGAAAGUCUGACCGAGCAACGCCGCGUGAGUGAAGAAGGUUUUCGGAUCGUAAAACUCUGUUGUUAGAGAAGAACAAGGAUGAGAGUAGAACGUUCAUCCCUUGACGGUAUCUAACCAGAAAGCCACGGCUAACUACGUGCCAGCAGCCGCGGUAAUACGUAGGUGGCAAGCGUUGUCCGGAUUUAUUGGGCGUAAAGCGAGCGCAGGCGGUUUCUUAAGUCUGAUGUGAAAGCCCCCGGCUCAACCGGGGAGGGUCAUUGGAAACUGGGAGACUUGAGUGCAGAAGAGGAGAGUGGAAUUCCAUGUGUAGCGGUGAAAUGCGUAGAUAUAU
rnacentral:rRNA from 1 species